GUCCCCCAGCCCUGCAGCUGCAGGAAGUGGCUCAGGUCAGACCACCGCUAAGGUACAUUCCACGUGAGGGCUGGAGAGGGCCAUCGGUGCCUUUACCAACAGUGUUGAUGCCUCACCCUGGGCAUCGGCCAGGCUGGCAGAAAUGUGGCUGGGAGCGGCAGGGACCAUGGAACCAUCGUGGCCUGGGGUGAGGAAGGCGUUGAGCAAUCAUGCUUGGGGACGUUCAGCUCUGGGCUUUAGGAUUCAAUAGGACACCGUAUUGAUGUACAGUUGCUUGCGGUGGCCAUGCUCGUUCCUGUAGAUGAGCUCUUUUGAUCCUAAUGGCAAUAUAGCCAAGAAAACAGGCAAGUGUUCCUACAGGCCACAUUCUCCCAGCUGCUGACUGGUGGAGGUGAGCUGCAAGGAGCUGCCCCCAGGCGCGACGAAGAUUUAAGAUGCCAGUGAGUGCCCGCCUGAGCCUGCCUAGGGCCCCCGAUGCCAUCCUUCAGGCUCCCUGGGUUGACGCAGCCCUGGGCUCUCUCCAUGCUGGAAAGGCGACAACAUUCACAUGCCCUGCAGUGUUCAGUCUUCAGCACUUCACAGCCAUGGCCCACCCUCCCACCAGCAAUUUAAGCCAGCUCCAGAGCCAAUGCCACCUGCCGUGCACAGGGUGAUUUUUCCAAGCUGAAGCUGUGGGUAGAACUUUCAGUCUUCACCUCAAAAUGCAGCCCUGCUGGGUGCAUGGACGAAGCCAGAGUCGAAGGAGUCGGGGGUCACAGCCAACACCUUCCAAUAAGACACUGUCCAUGACCUUGUGUCACUGGAUCCUUGGCCACACGCAACCAAUAUCGUCCUGGGUUUUCAGUGGCUCAGUAAUUUACUUUGAGCUUCGGAACCGCAAAGAGGUGGAGCCAAGAUUAAACCUGGUCCUUCUAGACAUGGGUUCUGGAUGCCUCCACCAUGCCUUGAUACUGAAGGGUCCCUACGUACACCCCUCUUAUUUACGAUGGAGUAUUCUGGCUGUUACUCAGUCCCUUCAUUCCAACUUCUCCUUGAUUGUGCUACCCAGAACCACGUCUGCACAUCUGCUAGAGUUGGUUGUUGAUGGCAUUGAUCCCACUCUCGUUACAUGACUGAUCAGUAAUUAGGCUGAGCUAAAAUUAAUUCACAGUCUCCAGAGCCCAGCCCAGAGGCUCCCCCUAGAGACAUCUGGCUUAUGCUUACUGGUUGGAUGAGGUGGGUGCAAGGUGGAUGAGUGUCUUUGUUUAUUUGAGCUGCUAUAACAAAGCUCCACUGACUGGGUGGCUUAUCAAUAAGACACGUAUUUCUCCGUUUUGGAGGCUGGAAGUCUGAGAUCAGGGUGUUGGCAUGGCUGGGUGCUGGAGAUGCCCACUUCCUUGUUGCAGACAACCAGCGUCUCAUUGUAUCCUCCCACGGUGGAAAAACAACAAGAGAGCUCUCUGGGGUCUUUUUUAUAGGGGUCCUGUCCUAGUCUGUUUUGUGUUGCUAUAAAGAAAUACCUAAGACUGGGUAAUUUAUAAAUAAUAAAAAAGUUUAUUUUUCUCGGAUU
rnacentral:lncRNA from 1 species